rnacentral:misc_RNA from 1 species
GAUGAAGAACGUAGCGAAAUGCGAUACUUGGUGUGAAUUGCAGAAUCCCGUGAACCAUCGAGUCUUUGAACGCAAGUUGCGCCCUCUGGUAUUCCGGGGGGCAUGCCUGUUCGAGCGUCAUUAUAACCACUCAAGCUCUCGCUUGGUAUUGGAGUUCGCGAUCUCGCGGCUCCUAAAAUCAGUGGCGGUGCCUGUCGGCUCUACGCGUAGUAAUACUCCUCGCGAUUGAGUCCGGUAGGUUUACUUGCCAGCAACCCCCAAUUUUUACAGGUUGACCUCGGAUCAGGUAGGGAUACCCGCUGAACUUAAGCAUAUCAAUAAGCGGAGGA